GGUGGCAGAAGGCGGGGUGGGCCCUGCAGAGGCUGGGAAGCUCCCGGGAGGCAUACUACGUGCUGUCCGGCUCUGUAGGAAGCCCUCGUUCUGACUAGCUGGAAGCUCUGCUACCAGGUGCAGGAUCAGGGUUGCAUGCCUCCCAGCCCCAGCCUGGCCGAGAAAGAAGAGCCUACCUGGUUCACUUGCUGAGACCCUCAGAGAAGUGGACACCUUGCUGUUCACGAACACAUGCAGGGCAUGCUUGGAUUUGCACACAGGCUAUCCAUACAGGGCAUUGUUUGACAUGACCAUUUCUGGGGGCAGAGAAGGAGGUGGCAGGGAGCCCUUGCCAGGUUGGAGAAGGCGAUGGACAGGUGAAGACAUGGAGUGGAAUGUGCUGGAAGAAGUGUGGUGCCCCUCUGCUCCCAGCUUCUCCUCGGAUUAAGGUUGCAACCGAGAGCCAUCGUCAUGGCUGCCCGCCUGCUCGCCCCAGAAAGCCAUCCCCCAUCCCACUGCUGCCCACCAGCCCUGUUUCCCUCUUCAUGUCUGUCUCCUAGACUGUCACUUCAGCCCUAGGUGGGCUCUGGUCUCUUCCUGGUGUCUCAUUCCCACUAAGGGAAGCCUCUUUGUCGAACUACUCGCAGAGAAGAAAUAAUGAA